CGAGUUCCCUGGAACGGGACGCCACAGAGGGUGAGAGCCCCGUCUGGUUGGAUACCAAACCUGUGUUAAACUCCUUCAACGAGUCGAGUAGUUUGGGAAUGCUGCUCUAAAUGGGAGGUAAAUCUCUUCUAAAGCUAAAUACCGGCCAGAGACCGAUAGCGCACAAGUAGAGUGAUCGAAAGAUGAAAAGCACCUUGAAAAGGGGGUUAAACAGUACGUGAAAUUGUUAAAAGGGAAGCGUUUAUGACCAGACUUGUGUCGUGUGGCUCAUCCGAGGUUCUCCCCGGUGCACUCCACACGGCUCAGGCCAACAUCGGUUCUCGUUGGGGGAUAAGAACAGCAGGAACGUGGCCCUCUUCGGAGGGUGUUAUAGCCUGCUGUACGAU
rnacentral:rRNA from 1 species